ensembl:processed_transcript RIKEN cDNA 8430429K09 gene
GGUUUUUCCGUAGGGUUUCCUAGCGCUGGAAGAGGAGGGAAGGCAGCUCGGUGGAUGGGCGAGCUCGCCUCGCCCGCGUGAGGACGUGGGAAUAAAUAUGGAGGGCAGGGUAGAAGAGAACAGCUCACCUUCCAGCAUCCAGGAACCAGCAAGAGAAUCCAUGAGUUUUUAGUGACAUAGAGAAGCAAACAAAGGGGCCAGGGAAAUGGCUCAUCAAUGGUGACUUCAGUCUUCAGUGGCUCUUGCUUGUAGUGCUAGGACUAGGGAAAGCAGAGAAAGGCUGAUCCCCGAGUCUGCUGGCUAGCUGCUGUGGUAUCACUGAGAGGGCCCUGAUGAAGAAUAAUGAAGGGCUGGUGGGAUGGCUCAGCCAGCAAAGGCACUCGCUAAACAAGCCCAUCGAGCUGACCUUGAUGCCUGGCACUCAUAAUGGAAGGAGAGAAGUGACCCCUAAAAAUCAUCCCCUGAGCUGGCCAGUGGUGGCGCACACCUUAGAUCCCAGCACUCCGAAGGCAGAGACAGGAGGAUCUCUGUGAGUUCAAGGCCAGCCUGAUCUACAGAGCCAGUUCCAGGACAGCCAGGGACUACACAGAGAAACUUUCCUGUCUCGAAAAACUACUAAUAGUAAUGCUGAUGACUCCUCUAAAGAAACCCUAGUUCAAUCUCUGCCUAUAUGAACACAUGUGCUAGUGCAUGUGCAGCCACACCCCGUGUUCAUAUACAUACACACACAGAGAAAGAUAGACAGACCAUGAUGGCCAUAAUCCCAGGACUUGGGAGGCUGAGGCAAGAGAACUACGAAUUCAAGGCCAGCUGGGCUACAGAUACUGCCUCAAAAGCUGGCUCAAGGGUUGAGAGCACUGCUUGCCCUUCCAUGGGGCCUGGGUUCACCUCUCAGCACGCACAUGGCAGUUCACAACCAUGUGUAACUCCAGUUCCAAGGAAUCUGAUGCCUGCUUCUGGCUUCCAUGGGCACCAGGCAUGCACAUGGUGCACAGACACACAGGUAGACAAAAUACUCAUACACACAAAAACAAGCAAAGCACACACAGGAAAGAAAGAAAAGAAUAAACAAGGAGAAGAGAAACUUGCAGCCUCUCCUUUUAGUAGAACGGCAAGUAGUAAAUAGGAUUUGGAAGGUCAGGAGUGGGGAAACGAAACAGGAUACUUACACAGAUGUGCCUCUCACCAAUUAGUCACCACAAUGCAAAACUCGUACUGUUAUAAUCUCUUGGUCCAGAAGAACAAAUUAAUCAAGGCAACCAAUGUCAACAUCUCCUCAAUGGGUCAUGCAGCGAUCACAAGCCUCCCGAUAAGAUACAAUGAGCAGGGCACACAUCACUUCUGUGUGAUUGCUGUGUCAUUAAGUGACAGAGCUCUUCCGUAGCACUCCUGAAGUUCUGAGGCUCAUCCUCUGUACCACCAUCACCACCCACCCCCAAAAAACCAAAGUGCAUAGCCAAAUCUCAGAAGAAAACAUUGCAUCAACUACUACAAAAUAGCUAUCCAAGUGCCGAAAAAGCAGGGACUAAAGGAGACUAAAGGAACAUGGCCACAAGAUGUUCAUGGUUUAAAGUUGCAUCCUGAGCUGAGGAAUGCAGUAGAAGAGCUUUAAUGAACAGUACUGAGACUAAUAAUAGCAUUUACAUAUGGACGGAAGUUUAACUGUUAAUAAAUACUGUUUCACAUGGC